GGGGUAUGUGAGGAUGCUGGGGAACCUGCUUAGGGGACUAGACAGUAAUGAAGAUCCAUGACAUGGGAGAGAGGGUAAAACCCGGGAUUAGCAAGGAAGAGCUCAGUAAUAGCCAAGAGCUUCUGCAAGCUUCGGAAGGGUGAUUUUGUUCAAAGAAACCUUAAGAGGUAGAAAGGCAUGAGCAAGUGGAGUCUGAGAAGGGCUUUUUCUCAGCGUGCAGGCGCAGGCGGAAGUUUUAGAAGUGUGGUGGGAGAGACAACUGUGAAAUGGGAAAGAUGCUGAGAAGGAAGCCUCAGAUCGGUGGACAGCCCCAAGAAAGACACGGAGGAGUUACCAGGUGAGGAAACUGAGACCAGAGAAGGAAAAUAACUUGCCGAACGAAGGCUACAAACUUGCAAGUGAUGGGGCCUGGUUGAACUUAAGGUCUUUCUGUUUGGCAAUAGCAUCUCAGUGACAUCCUUGGUUGGAAUAGUUUUAGAAUCAAGACAUAAACAGCCACCCUCAGGCCUACAGCCAUUCCCCUUUUUGUUGAAAGAGGAAGCAGUCACAGAAGGCACCCUUCACCCACUCUCUGUGGUCUCAAGAAGAGGAACCUGGAUCUGAUUUGGAUUUUUUUGAAGAAAUCUUGCUUUGAUGUGGUCUAAUCCAACUUCUUCAUUUGCUGGUCUGAGUGGGACAGUGGGUGCUGUACCUCUGUGGGGACCGACCAAGGGGAUUCUCUCAGCCAGGGAUCCCCCCAAGGGCGGAGUUUCCCAGCCCCGGUACCCAUGACUCCUCGGGUACCUCCAAUGAUCUCCAGGCUAUUGGAACCUUCUCUAGACAAAAUUUAAAUAUUGAAAUAAAUAUUCUAUGAAAAUAAACCUGUGGGAAAAAAU
rnacentral:lncRNA from 10 species